rnacentral:tRNA from 1 species
GCGGGUGUAACUCAGCCUGGUUAGAGUGCUAGACUCAUAAUCUAGAAGUCGUGAUUUCGAAUAUCGCCACCCGCA